UCCAAACCCGCUUCCAGGAGAAACGAGUCUGGACUCAGAUGGCUGAAUUUGCGGUGAAAAGACGAGCAGGACGCAGCAGCAGCUCCGGCGGCGCGUCGUCUGAGGAGGUGGAGGAGUGAGAGAGGAGCUCCGGAAGCAGCGCUCCAGUCAACUGCUCAUGUUUUCCUCCCUGAAGAAGAGACAACAAACGACCUGUGCCUCGUAGGCGCGAUGGCGUCCCCCUUUUUCCUCGGCCUAACGGGAUUAGUCGUGCCAGUGCUACCCCGGCUGUCACGGUGCCGGACGAAUGUUUCCAAAAACACCGGAGAGCUGCUGUCCUCAGGAACAAUCCACGGGAGAUGUUCGAAUGCCAAGGUCUACUAUGGAAGAAAAAGCAAGCCCACAUUGGUUCUUGGUCACGGAGGGACCAGGGGGUCACUGUGUCAGCCUCAGUGGUCCUGUCAACUCCUACAUCGAGAGUAUUCAGGAAGAAGAAAUGCCAUUAAAGGAUACCGGGAAGUAGACACACUGCACCAAGGCUGAUGUGUGAAGCUGAAGUUAACGGUGGUUCUAUUCUUGACAUUCUUUUAGUUAUUCCUCCUGAAUCUCCUGUCAAUGUAUUAAAUUCAAUAGUUUCCCUUGUUCUGCCCACAGAAAUGCUUGAAUUAAUCAUCAAGUUCACUCUUGAGAUGCAUAUGAUGUUAACAACACUCAGUAGGGUUUCUAAUCUGUUCAGAGAUCUGUACAAAUCUUUCCUGCCUGAGACCUUUGUGUGAGAUGAAGUGGCUGCCAGUCUGAAACAGAACCAGGAAAGUGAACCGACUAUCAAUGUGAUGAAACUGUAUAAAUCAUCUGGUCAUUUUAGCGGCACAAACAGCUCCUGUCUACAUGCACAGAUUGGAUGACAGCAUGGCUUGUGCUUAAACAUCUGAGUUUUGGUCAAUAUCAAGUGAAAGAUUGAAGGGUAAAAAUACAUUGUUUUCUACAUUGUUGAUGCUUUCGGUUGGAGUUUCUUUUUUAGUAACUUCCUUUUUAGUAACUAAGGUUCCUCUCAGUAUUAGACAAGUCAACUCCUUAUAAGAAAUUAUGUUCUGCUGAUGUUCCUCUGUUCCUCUUUAGUAGUAGACAGGUCACCUUUUAAGGGAUCGUUUUCUGUAGAUGUUCUCCUUUCCUAGUAACUGGAGUAAUAACGAAACAUCUCAGAGAAAAGUAUAAAAUGGAAAUGAACUGGAGAAGUGUGGGCUUUCACUUACAGGCACUGUAGUGUGAUUUUGCUCCCAAGACUGCGCAUCUUGUAAUAAAAGACAUCAUUUCU